UCAUAUAGAAUAACCUAUUCGUCCACUGGAUUUUUAUCGUUCUAUUCGAAGGGAUAAUAUGGAAUAGUAAAAUAUGUUCGCAGCAUGGCAAAUCUACAGCGCCACGUUGCGGUGUAUGUAGGAAACACGUUGCAUUAAAUAGAUACAUAAUGGAUAGAGUGGGUAUUGAGACAUCUACGAUCGAUCGUUUACGUCUGAUAAACAGAAAAUAUUCGUUAGAACCAAAGCGUAACGUAUAUAUUAUUAAACGUAGUUUAUGACACAGUAAUCAACACGAGCUAUAUCGAUCUUCAAGUAAGACAUUUUUCCGUUUUUUACUCGUAACAAUGAGCGUGUCCCAUCAUUGCUUGCAAUACACGUCAUCGUUUAGUAUUCGAUUACUAUAUACCUGAUUCGAUUCAGAUCUUUAUCAGUGAAAUGGAAAAGGUAAACGAUGCGAAUCGUUAAAAGGAAAGUACAUUUUAGUUUAGUGAUC